AUGUUCCGGUUUGCACAGCCGAGUUUAGGCAGGAAACGUGUUCAAUUUCUCCUGGAGAGUUGGGGGCAGGGCGGGGAAGACGGAUGCCUGACCCGGCGGGAGGCGGUCCCCUCUGGCAGGGGUGCCCGGUGCGGCGCCCGAAGCCUUGCGGGGAUAGCCUGGCAAACCCCUGACCACUGGAACCCUAAAAAAACUGAAGUAGGAGGUCCUUCAAUCUUCAUGGGAUUUAUCUCCCUACCUCUGGAGUGCACGCGACUUAUCAAAGUUUUCAGCGUGCUAGCCACCUCUUGCUCAUCCUGCCUGAUUAGCCUGAUGUCAAUGUGUAAUGUUGGGGCUCAGGGGAGCCCUCAGUUCCCCUGAGAGGACAAUUCUCCAGGUUCUUGAUGUGUCAUUCCCCAGAAUGGGAGAGGAGACCACGGCACAGUGUGCUCAUAGAAGUAAACGCCGGACUCAAACGUGUUUGUAGGAAGUGAUUUAUUCAGGUAGAGAGAAAGAGAAAGAAACAGCUAACUCACUGAGUGAGAGAAAGAAAAGCCGCUCUCACACUGAGUGAGAAGGGUUCCCAGAGGGGAAAACCAGAGAAGGAAAGCUCCUCUCAUACUGAGUGAGAGAAUCCAGAAAGAUGGAAUCCAGGAGAGGAAAGCAGCUUCCACACUGGGUGGAAGGGAAUUGAGAGAGAGCUGGAGUUUAGGAGGGGAAGACAGGCUUCCACGAGAGAGUGUGGAGGGGAACUCCAGAAGGGAAAUCCAGGGAGAGAAAGACUACUUCCACGAGGGUGGAAGGGGAUCCAAACUCGGAGCCUGAAGGGGUGUGGAAGAAGGGGACGUUUAAUCUGGGAGGAACCCCCACCUUCUCUAAGACCUAUAGCCAAUGAAAGGAGUUCCUUCGAACUUCCGCUGGAGUGAUUGACUUUUGACCCUUUCUCAAGCCCGGCAAAAUUAAAACAUCAACCGUUAAAUCUCCCGGAUGGAGAGAGAUGAGAGGGGGGCAUGGCGCUGUGAAGUUCUUGCCCUUAAAACUACGCCCUCUUGUGGACCUGGAAAGAGAACACAUUCCCUCAAUUGGUGUAAUAGAUGGAUGUGUUCUCUGGAAUUUCCAGGUGAUCCAGCUCCUUUUGGACUGCAAAGAGCCGUUAUGUCAUUCUCCUGGGUCUGACUGAUUUCCAAAGGGGCCAGACUGGCAAGUUAAAUAAAGAGAAGAUGACCAACCA
rnacentral:lncRNA from 13 species